UACGUAGGGUGCGAGCGUUAAUCGGAAUUACUGGGCGUAAAGCGUGCGUAGGCGGUUUGCCGUGUCCUGUGUGAAAUCCCCGGGCUCAACCUGGGAACUGCAUCCGAAACUGCCUUGCUAGAGUAUGGGAGAGGGAAGUGGAAUUUCCGGUGUAGCGGUGAAAUGCGUAGAUAUCGGAAGGAACAUCAGUGGCGAAGGCGACUUCCUGGACCAAUACUGACGCUCAGGUGCGAAAGCGUGGGGAGCAAACAGG
rnacentral:rRNA from 1 species